CAGUCUACUAUGAUGACUGAUGAGGCACAUCCUAUGGUAUUGGUUCCCAAAAGUGUGUCAUGUGGAAAAUCAAGCCAAGCAAGUCUUCUGCAAUUGCUUGGAAAUUGAUGAGGCUUGGGAAAAGAAUUUGGCUAUCUUGAAUGUUCCUUGCCUCAUUAUAAAACAGAAAACUACUACAUUUAGAAAAACAGAAAACCACACCAGCAUUGAUAGCAGAGAGAACUGACAAAAUUUGAAAUUAGUGUUUACCCUUUGAUUGUUUUUCAUGUCUUCUGAGCCUCCUUUUUUCCACAGAAUAAUUUCUAAUGCUUGGAAAGGCUUAGCCAUUCCAAGAUCUCAGGACGAAGGUAACCACCUUCUAUCCUCACCCAGCAGUGUAACCAGAAUCAGGUCCUUCACUUUAACACUGCCUCAGAACCAUGGUUCUGAUCGCUUGCCACUGUACCAUGUUAACGCAACUGAGAUACAAAAACUAGACUACCACCCCAACCCCAACCCCAAACACAAAACUCCCUUAAAUCUAUCAUUAAAAAUUGUUUGUAUGACCUUUGCUGCUUUAGGGUACCCAACAAUGUCUGCAUCCCAAUAUCAACCUUCUAUCCUUGGACCUGCUAUGAUGGUUGCUUUUGCAGCUUCACUCUCGGCGAUUUUCAUCAAGAGUUCCUACCCACGGCUUGCAGCAAUUGUUGCAAUAAUUGGGUAUCUCUCUUUUACUCUCAGUUUCUUGGUAAUGACCAAAGUUUUCUUCACUGGAAAUUUAAUCUUGUGGGGUAUCAUAGGAGGGCUGGCUAUGGUUUGGAUCAUAAUAGCCCUCCUUAUACGCUUCUUUGCAUGAAGCCUAUCUGUAGGGGUCAUAAAAUCUCCGAACUAAGUAAAUGAUUGAUUGAUCUAUUGCGGUUUUAAAAGUUUCCUUGAUGGUAUCAAAAGUACAAUUGUCGACACGUACCACAAUUGUCCAUAAUUUAUAUUAUCAUAUAUCAACUACUAUAACCGCAAUUUAUACUGAUGAUCAAUUAAGUAUCAGUUUACAAGGUGCAAGGGAUGUUGUGACUUCUACUAUCUUAGCCAUCGUGCUGAUGGCUUGCAUUGUGCUACAUCCACAACAACUACAUCUACUUUUUUCCCUUCUAUCAUAGUAUAUCAGUAAACUUUGCAGUCUGUAUUUUAAUCCGGAAUCGAGAUCGUACAUCGUUACACCAUAAGUCAAUCAUCAGAAACCAUUUAUAUUUCUAUGGCUUUUACCUGAUAGCUAUUAGCCAGAGUCAGUGUAGUGUUAACUGCAAAUGGGCAAAACAGAUACUCUCCCAAUGUAUGGUCUGUGAGCUCUUUGUAACCUUAAUAUGGUUCACACCGCACAAGAAAGUAAACUAGCCUACAUAUGCCACAAAAAAACAACUAUUUAUUCCUAGUCAAACAGAUAUUGUAGCUGUCACCAUUCAACAGCAACCUCAGCUUGGCUUCGAACAUACAAGUUUUCGUCUAGCCUACUCCAGGCAGUAAUCAAGUAAAAACCAAUUACUAGGUAGAUCUUAAUGAUCUGCUGCAUAUAAGAACGUGGCAACUUGUGAAGUAUUUGAAUCAAAUAUUGGCUAACACGACUCUGGAAGAGAAAUUAUCGUAUCUGAUGUGAGGCAUAUCAAGUCACUAUCUCAUCGUACUGAAUCGAAGUUGAAAUAGAGUAAACAAAGUGGAUUGAAAUUUGAGGGAUUUAUUACACAUAAGUCCCGAAAGUUUUUUAUUCCUCCCAUUUAAUGGGUACCCUACCCUUGUAUUUGUAGUCAAGUGCUAUUAAGAACUUAUUAGGAUUAUGUCCUAUGUUUAUUAAUAUCAUUAGAAUCUAUGGUAAGAUGUUGGAUGCAGCAAUUAAUUUACUAUGAAGAUUUUACUUUA